UUCUUGUUCGUAUAACGGUCAGUAUGCUCGCUUGUCAUGGACGAUCGCGGGAGAUCGGGGUUCGAUUCCCCGACAGGAAG
rnacentral:tRNA from 1 species